UAAUACUUUCUUCUCGGGUGAACGCAAUAUUUGCGAAAUAAAACGUCUCAGAGCUAUAAAGUCCAAUGCUUCUUAUUUUUUUAAACCUAGUUCACAGAAGGAAACCCUUCAGGGAAUAAUAAAUUAAAUCUAGUCAAAGACAGUACAGCUAAAUAGUUAUAUUUUUCAAAAUUCGAUUUCACAAUGUGCCAACGCAGAGACGAUAAUCCCGAGUGCUGCGCCAAGUUCUAUCCAAUAUGGUGUAUCGUAGUUGGUUUCAAAUUCUUUGUAUUGUCAAUGCAACAUUCAGCUUAUCAUAUAUUCUCGCUGGGAUAUUGAUGUUUUUUGGUAUAAAAUCGGAUAAGAGAACGAUGUUUAAGGCUGGAAAAAUCCUCAGUUAUUUUUUUGCUAUUUUGAAUUUCCCCAUAUGUACAUAUAUCCACAGUAUGGCUAUCAGACAACUGUGCCGUUAUGAUCGUGAACGCUGGGAAUAGCUAAUGGUCAAAACUCCCCGUUUUCAUCUGGAUUUAUAUCUUUGUAUUGCAUUGCUUGCAAGAGUGAGUUACCUGGAUGGAUCCAGGCUGUUCCAAAUAUACAUAUAUCAUUCGAUCAUUUUGGCAACCAAAAGGAAUACAACAUUUUCAACAA